rnacentral:rRNA from 1 species
UACAGAGGUCUCAACCGUUGUUCGGAUUCAUUGGGCGUAAAGGGUGCGUAGGCGGUCGCGCAAGUCGGAUGUGAAAUCUCAGGGCUCAACCCUGAAACUGCAUUCGAUACUGCGUGGCUAGAGUGCUGGAGAGGAGACUGGAAUUUACGGUGUAGUGGUGAAAUGCGCAGAUAUCGGGAAGAACACCUAUGGCGAAGGCAGCUCUCUGGGACGGUACUGACGCUGAGACGCGAAAGCGUGGGGAGCGAACAGG